CUUUUCUUUGGAGUCUUGGCCCUUCGCAUCCUGGUUAUUUUGAGAGUUCUCUGACGUGUUUAAACAGAUGGCCCCAUACCCUGGAGCUAUCACCCUCCCAUUCCACCUCCCCCCAUCCCUAAGCAAACACCGAUCUACUUUAUGUAUUUAUAGAGCUACCCGUUCUGGACGUUUCACGUUGGUGGAAUUACAUAGUAUGCAGUCUUCUGUGACUGGCAUCUUUCACUUAGCAUGAUGUCUCAAGGCUCCUCUACGCUGAGCAUCUAUCAGUACUCUGAAUCUCACCUCCUCUGGAACACCGGUACGCUUUUGCCACAGCCACUUUCGUAUCUGAAAGCAUCAUGACCACCUGCUUUAACUAACCCUUGCAACCUGGAUUCGAAUUUCACAGCAGCAUCCUUAUUUGUGCUAACCACUUCAUCAGAGAGUAUAACAUGAGUCAGUUCAUGCCCACAUAUGAAAUGAUGGAAACUUUUACUGGCAGUGAGAGGUUCUUUUCUGGUCUCCCUUUAAUUACUGUUUUCUUUUCAUACGCCAGCUGACUUUACCAUUUGGCCUGAAUGCUGGCUGACCUGAUUUGAAUGAUUUUUUUUCUUGCAGUCUCAAUCCAUAGUAGAAGUAAGUGCUCCAUUUCAACCACAGUUGGCUUUCUGUUGCUUCUACUGAUACAAUUUAAACUAAAUCAUGCGGGAGCAACUUUACCUUGUUUUUCAUAUUCACUGAAUCUUGUCGCUAUAGUUUAGACCAGAGCCUCACGGAAGCCUGGAUCUCCUUUCUUUUGCCUUUUUUCAGAUCUUCUCCUUGCAGCCAAUUUCGCUUCCAAUGUUACCACUUUUUGUUUCUUUCCUGCAGUUAAUCUUUUUAUGUAAACUGCUUCAUUAAUUUAUCACUGGGAGACAAGGAGCCCAUACAACUGUACUAUUCAUUGUCUGUGAAAUAAACAAGCAACCCAUGUGCAGUGGCCGGUCACUGGCAGACUUGGAAAGAAGUGAUGUGAGCGGUCACUGCGUGUGAUGACCAUCUGUUACGUUGUGAUUUGUGGAGGGAAGGUUAGCAGCAAAGUCUGUAUCUAAUGUGAUGAUUUGAGUUACUAAAUGGUGGUCACUGAAAUUUGAAUCGUUGUAUUGAAUGACUGGUGUUAUUUAACUAAACCGUAGUAACUGCAGUUUGUACAUCUUAGGACUGUGCAAGACAA
ensembl:lncRNA